UACAGGGGGUGCAAACGUUGCUCGGAAUUAUUGGGCGUAAAGCGCGCGUAGGCGGCUACUUAAGUCGGAUGUGAAAGCCCCUGGCUCAACUGGGGAAGUGCACCCGAAACUGAGUAGCUAGAGUGCAAAAGAGGGUCGCGGAAUUCCCGGUGUAGAGGUGAAAUUCGUAGAUAUCGGGAGGAACACCGGUGGCGAAGGCGGCGACCUGGGUUGACACUGACGCUGAGGAGCGAAAGCGUGGGGAGCGAACAGG
rnacentral:rRNA from 1 species